AAAAUGCGAUACUUGGUGUGAAUUGCAGAAUCCCGUGAACCAUCGAGUUUUUGAACGCAAGUUGCGCCCGAAGCCAUCCGGCUGAGGGCACGCCUGCCUGGGCGUCACGCGUCGCGUCGCUCCCCACCAUACCUCCCCAACGGGUUGGCAUGGUGUUGGGGGCGGAUAAUGGCCUCCCGUGCUUGUGUUUCGGUUGGCCUAAAUAAGAGUUCCCUUCGGCGGACACACGACUAGUGGUGGUUGAAUAGACCCUCGUCUUUUGUUGCGUGUCGUGAGCUGUAAGGGUAGCCCUCAUCAAAGACCCCAUUGUAUCGUCUUCGGAUGAUGCUUCGUCCGCGACCCCAGGUCAGGCGGGACUACCCGCUGAGUUUAAGC
rnacentral:misc_RNA from 1 species